CAGACACAGCCCACUGAGUUUCUCGCUGGAUCUUCUCAGUGGGUCGCGUUUCCGAUCCGGUGGUAGAUUCUGCGAAGCACGGCUCUUGCUAGGGCCAGUGUUAGCAACACUCCGGUUUGAGCCCCGUGAGCUCACCUACACGUUAGGGUGAAGCUGAAAUAGCCUCUCAAGGCUACCAGCAUAGAUAUCUUGACACACCGGUGAAGGAAGCAUGGUCCGCUUAUGGCGGAGACAUGACACUCAUGAAACGAAGGCGUGCACGCGUUAGCGAACCUGAUUGGGCGGUGCGCGUUGACGUAGAAGAUAGAUAUUGUUUUAUCUGAAGUUUUCAAGUGGGUUCAGACUACUUUGAGAGCUGGAUUAUAUGGAGAGCAUCUAUUAAAGGCCUCCGCAAUGUGUUGUUUUAUAAAUUUUGUUACAGUGCUCAUAAAUGUUGGUACUGAAAGUUUUUUUUGGAGUUUACUCCUUUAGAAUCGAUUUACAUAUAUAGGCCCGGGGUAUGAAAAUUAUGGGGACCAAAAUCGUACUAGCAUGUCACACGAAAUGCGUUAUGCGCCUGAUUGGCUCCUGAUUGCGUGAUGCGUGCGCGCGCCAAUCAGGAGCCAACGCGCGGCCGCGUUAUCGCAGGUGACGCCGGGCUGCUGCGCCGGCACUCGGCAGUCCGCCACAAAGCCUCGUACUGAUCGCGCGUUUCUCUCAUUAUUGUAUUUUCAUAUAUUUGUUAGUCGUUUGUUUUGUGUCUCGUUAAUUUGUUAAUAAUCUGUAGUGUAUCGUGUUGUCGUAAUAUAGAACUAUUUCUCGUA